rnacentral:rRNA from 1 species
GACGAACGCUGGCGGCGUGCUUAACACAUGCAAGUCGAACGGAAAGGCCCUGCUUUUGUGGGGUGCUCGAGUGGCGAACGGGUGAGUAACACGUGAGUAACCUGCCCUUGACUUUGGGAUAACUUCAGGAAACUGGGGCUAAUACCGGAUAGGAGCUCCUGCUGCAUGGUGGGGGUUGGAAGGUUUCGGCGGUUGGGGAUGGACUCGCGGCUUAUCAGCUUGUUGGUGUGGUAGUGGCUUACCAAGGCUUUGACGGGUAGCCGGCCUGAGAGGGUGACCGGCCACAUUGGGACUGAGCUACGGCCCAGCCUCCUACGGGAGGCAGCAGUGGGGAAUAUUGCACAAUGGGCGGAAGCCUGAUGCAGCCACGCCGCGUGCGGGAUGACGGCCUUCGGGUUGUAAACCGCUUUCGCCUGUGACGAAGCGUGAGUGACGGUAAUGGGUAAAGAAGCACCGGCUAACUACGUG